AUGCCUUGCAAUCUUACUUUUCAGCCAUGCCUUGCUAGUGGGCUUCAAGUUCACGCUUCUUUUGAGGACCAAUCCCAACUUGCACAAAGAUGGUCCAUCAUGAAUUACACCAAAAUGUUUGAAUCUUCCAAACCAUUCUCCCCUUUAUGCCCUAUCGGAACUAACAUGCUGCAUUCUUCAAGUAAUGGCCUGCAUAUUAUCCAAAAUAAACCAAGAGUUCAUCAAAAACCCAGAGUAAAAAACUACACUGUAAAUUGCUCUACAUUAUUCUUCGGUGGACUGCCUGCUUACAAUUUUAAAACAGUGUGGGGUUUGAUCCAAACAGAGAUUAGAAGAUGA